GGCUUUGCACUUCAUGCAGAAACCUGACAAGACAUGAAAAAUAUUGUUUUCUUCUGUGUACUUUGGUUUGGAAAUAUGCAAAUCACUUUCAGUGAUGCAUCACUACAAGGAUCUUCUGAUCUGCUGAGAGUUCAGAAAGGAGAAAGCAUCAUUCUGAACUGCAGCAUGAGAAACCGAUAUGAAGUCGCCUGGUAUCACCUCAGAGCUAGCCGAUUCAAACUUAUGAUUUCUGCACAGACAGACAUAACAGGGAGAAAAUUUCUGACCACCUACAAUCAAAACUUUACUCGUCUGAAAAUCACUGCAGACACAUGGAUCACCAGAGCCACGCUAGAGGUUUCUAGAGUAACAGAGUCAGAUUCAGGCUUUUAUUUCUGUGGAACAAGGUCUAACACGACAGAGAUGCUCUUCGACAAACCCACCAGACUAGAGAUCGAGGGUCAGCAUGCAGAGGAUCGGAGUACCGAACUGCCAAAAGAAGCUGACAACACAGAUGAGGUGACGCUGACGGAGCGUGUGCUGAUGUUCGGUGGCAUUGCUCUGGCUGCGUUUGUGUUUUUUCUGGCUACAGUCAUUGCAGGAGGAAUCCUUCACUAUCGCGGUUGGCAGAAAGGAUGGAGCGCAGCUGGUCUGGCUGAUCAAAAAUUACCUAAGUGACACAUUUAUGUGCUUUAUUUUAAAGUCACAAUAUAUCCCUGGCUCAGAUGUUUUCUCCUGCUGGCCAGAUCUUUCACUUUAGAAAAGCUGAGAUGUUGCAAAUGUCACCUUUUUCAGCACCAGUGAAAACUAAAUCUUAAUAAUUCUGUUUUUCUGUCUUUUUAACCUAUCUUUGUUCAUUGUCUCCUAAUGUGAUCUUGCUUAGGGAUUUUAAUAUUCGUAUUGAUAAUGCAGAUAGUGUAUCAAACAGCUUUGGUUUAAAACAAUUUAUAAAUUUUCCUACCCAUUUAAAGGGUCAUACGCUGCAUGGAUCUUAUGUGUUGUUCAGGUGUAGUUCCUUAUAAUUGCACAUCAUAAUUUCCGAUGUGUCUUUGUCAAAUCAUAUGCUGGUGUCCUUUAAUGCUCAGUUACCUGUAUUCAACCUGUGCUCAAUCUAUGUCGUUUUGGAAAAUAAAAAACAUUGUCUCA
rnacentral:lncRNA from 1 species